rnacentral:rRNA from 1 species
GAUGAACGCUGACAGAAUGCUUAACACAUGCAAGUCAACUUGAACUUCGGUUUGGGUGGCGGACGGGUGAGUAACGCGUAAAGAACUUGCCUCACAGAUAGGGACAACAUUUGGAAACGAAUGCUAAUACCUGAUAUUAUGAUUUUAGGGCAUCCUAGAAUUAUGAAAGCUAUAUGCGCUGUGAGAGAGCUUUGCGUCCCAUUAGCUAGUUGGAGAGGUAACGGCUCACCAAGGCGAUGAUGGGUAGCCGGCCUGAGAGGGUGAACGGCCACAAGGGGACUGAGACACGGCCCUUACUCCUACGGGAGGCAGCAGUGGGGAAUAUUGGACAAUGGACCAAGAGUCUGAUCCAGCAAUUCUGUGUGCACGAUGAAGUUUUUCGGAAUGUAAAGUGCUUUCAGUUGGGAAGAAAAAAAUGACGGUACCAACAGAAGAAGUGACGGCUAAAUACGUGCCAGCAGCCGCGGUAAUACGUAUGUCACAAGCGUUAUCCGGAUUUAUUGGGCGUAAAGCGCGUCUAGGUGGUUGUGUAAGUCUGAUGUGAAAAUGCAGGGCUCAACUCUGUAUUGCGUUGGAAACUGUGUAACUAGAGUACUGGAGAGGUAAGCGGAACUACAAGUGUAGAGGUGAAAUUCGUAGAUAUUUGUAGGAAUGCCGAUGGGGAAGCCAGCUUACUGGACAGAUACUGACGCUGAAGCGCGAAAGCGUGGGUAGCAAACAGG